AGCCCUGAAGUCUAUGUAGGUGAUCGAGUUCACCUGUGACAAACUGAGCAGGAGGAGGCUGCAUGUGGACGCCUUAUGUCCUUAUUCGUUAAAAGUCCGUCAACCACGCUAUUGUCUAAUCCUGUGAGAAAAUAACAGAACAGAGCCUCUUUGUUGAGUGUUUGUCUGUCCCUGGGUUGGUCAUCACUCCUGGAGUCACAGAGAUGUCAGUCAACACUCGGUCCACUAUUCUCGCAGUGAUAUUCAAUACAAGCACACACAGUCACAGAAACACAGUCACACUUGACUGCUGACGUCAGUUGUGGUUUCAUGACUGUCACUGCAAUGCCGAUCGACCAGCUAGCAGGCCUGCAAUUAUUCCCGGCCCAACGCUCUCCUCACUGCAGUUUUGUUUUUCCACCAAAUGAGAGACUAGAACACAAAGGAUGCUAUGAAACACGCUGAAAAGAAACCAGCUGGCCAAGCCUGCGGACACAGUGGGAUUUCUGUUGAGACGUGUUUGUUGUAGGAACGGAGAGGAAUGACUCUGCGGACUCGAGCAGAGGCGUCCUGUGGUGCAGCGGGUUGAGGCGUCAACCGUGGAUUGGAAAUGAUUUGGGAUCACGUCCAGGGAACAGCCAUUGUCACGUCAAUAUUUCCCGUCUGUCCUCACCUCGGGUCAAAAUGUCUUUGUCACAAAACUGCGCAUUAAUGACACCAAACUGCAUUAGCUAAACAUAUCUGUUAUGUAUAAUCUUUAAUUCAAAAUGGGCAGGUGAUGGAUCACUUCAGGAAAUCCUACAUGUAAUAAGAAACUGAAGAUCUCUUAGAUGUCUAUUGGACAAAAUCCAACAAGAGCAGAAACCUGGAGGUUUUUCAUUUUUUUCAACAGCUGCUGGGAGCACCACAUCUCGACAAAAGCCUGAGUGUACGUUGGAAAUGUACCGCAUCAGAAGACUAAAAACUGAGUCUGGGAAGAGGUCAGAGGUCACUGAGCAGGGCUCUGUGCUCUACUAAACGUCCUCCUCCUCCUCCUCUGGGUGCUCCUCUGCUCCUCUGCUCCUGGACGCUCUCUCCUCUGCCUUCACGCCGCACCAGCUUUCCACUGAGUCACAGACAGACGGAGGAAAGCCCGCCACAGAGUGUUGUAGCCGCAUGACUCCAGGUCCAAAGUGAGGAGUGGGAGAAGAAAAGGAAAAGGGGCUUUAAAGGGCCAUUUCCUCAGGCCACAUUGCUGCCGGUUCAUGAGGGCUAAACGUGAGCAGAGCGUGGAGGCGUUGGUUUGAAAUCCACAUUGAGGAGUCCAGAGCUGAACUCUCCCUCUUCUCUGGAGACACACUCCUCCCUCCUUCCCUCCCUCCGCCUCUCUAUGGCUCUCCCCGUCUGUCUCCUCCUUCCAGGCUCAGAAACAUAGACUGCUGAGGCUUUAAAAAAGGCUUGAUCUAUGUGCAUGUAUUGUAUGUGUGGCUGAGUGCUAGAAAGGGGGGUCUCUGGUUGCAUUACCUGCACCACGUGUGUGUCUGUGGGAAUGUAUAUCCACAGUGUGGGGUAAAUGUGUGGUAUACUGUAUAUGUGCUGUGGACACUUUAACCGUUUGCAGCCUCAGCCAGCACACAUGCUUCACAGACUCAGUGUAAAAAACAACAAAUCACUCACCAAAGCAAACAAACAAAAAGAAAACCCUCACAAAUAAUUACUUCAUACUUGAUUUUCAUCUUUUAAAUUAUUCCAAUGACAGUACAACAUACAUUUAUUGUGCAUCUGAUGAGGGGUUCAAACACUAAUGUGGGAGUGUUUGCCGUCUUUCCAUGUAAAUUAUGAGUUUUUUUCUUAGUUUACAGAUGUUAACUUUCAGAGCUGCAUGCUAUACAGUAGUCUUGGAAAAGAUCGAGGAAUUACAGAUAUGGUUUUCAGUACGGUCAAACUUAGAUGUACUUCUCUUGCUAUGAAACCCAUGGAGAUGCUGUAUUGAGUUGCUGCAGUGCGCCGCAGGGGAGUUUCUACUGGUGGACCGGGAAGCUGAGCUGAGAAAAAUUGCAAAUAUAAGUGUUAGCAACAGCAUUACAUGACUGGUAUGCCAGGGUCAGGAUUUCUUAAUACAGACCACCCAGUCUAGAAAAAUGGGCAUGAUUCAACCAGAUAAACCUGGCACAACUUGCAACCCCUACUGUAGCGCAUCUUAACUAAACCGCAACAUUUCUUAUUUUAAAAUUCCAUUUUCUCCAGCUGCCUUUUGUUUCUCCCCCCACUAUACCUGUCUUUUAAUUGCUGUGUUUUAAUAAAUUUUCAAACGGA